AUUGAACGCUGGCGGCAGGCUUAACACAUGCAAGUCGAGCGGAGAUGAGGUGCUUGCACCUUAUCUUAGCGGCGGACGGGUGAGUAAUGCUUAGGAAUCUGCCUAUUAGUGGGGGACAACAUUCCGAAAGGAAUGCUAAUACCGCAUACGUCCUACGGGAGAAAGCAGGGGAUCUUCGGACCUUGCGCUAAUAGAUGAGCCUAAGUCGGAUUAGCUAGUUGGUGGGGUAAAGGCCUACCAAGGCGACGAUCUGUAGCGGGUCUGAGAGGAUGAUCCGCCACACUGGGACUGAGACACGGCCCAGACUCCUACGGGAGGCAGCAGUGGGGAAUAUUGGACAAUGGGCGGAAGCCUGAUCCAGCCAUGCCGCGUGUGUGAAGAAGGCCUUUUGGUUGUAAAGCACUUUAAGCGAGGAGGAGGCUACCUAGAUUAAUACUCUGGGAUAGUGGACGUUACUCGCAGAAUAAGCACCGGCUAACUCUGUGCCAGCAGCCGCAGUAAGAC
rnacentral:rRNA from 1 species